AUCCAACUGACGAGUCCGAAAUAGGACGAAACUUGUGUCUUGGAU
rfam:Schistosoma mansoni, Puerto Rico, WGS project CABG01000000 data, contig: 0137